UUCUUGUCGCUCAAAGCUGACGCAGCAUCAUAGAAACGGACAAGGCUAAGGAUAUAAAAACCAAUGCCAAAACCCUAAAAGCAACUGUCAAAGCUAGAGCACGACAUAUCUCAAAUGAAAAGGAAAUAAAAACCAACACCAAAAUGAAAACAAAUAGACCUCUCCGGCUUCAAGCUUCAGUCUUCAAGUCUCAAACUCUGAAAAGACAAACAAAACAAUAUUUAAAACGUGAACAAACGUAUGACAAGCUUCUAUCUACGGGUUGUAUUUGCACAAUCAUCAAAACAGAACCAACCUUAAAACAAGCUUCUAUCUACAACAGUUUGACAACUUAUAAUUUAAAUCAAGAGCAAAGAAGAAGGAGACUAUCUCUGAGUGUGUUAUUGACUUAUUUGAGAAAGGAGAUGAUGUCUUUUUUUGAUUAGUUUCUUUCUCC
rnacentral:lncRNA from 1 species